UGGCUCAGGACGAACGCUGGCGGCGUGCCUAAUACAUGCAAGUCGAGCGAUGAUUAAAGAUAGCUUGCUAUUUUUAUGAAGAGCGGCGAACGGGUGAGUAACGCGUGGGAAAUCUGCCGAGUAGCGGGGGACAACGUUUGGAAACGAACGCUAAUACCGCAUAACAAUGAGAAUCGCAUGAUUCUUAUUUGAAAGAAGCAAUUGCUUCACUACUUGAUGAUCCCGCGUUGUAUUAGCUAGUUGGUAGUGUAAAGGACUACCAAGGCGAUGAUACAUAGCCGACCUGAGAGGGUGAUCGGCCACACUGGGACUGAGACACGGCCCAGACUCCUACGGGAGGCAGCAGUAGGGAAUCUUCGGCAAUGGGGGCAACCCUGACCGAGCAACGCCGCGUGAGUGAAGAAGGUUUUCGGAUCGUAAAACUCUGUUGUUAGAGAAGAACGUUAAGUAGAGUGGAAAAUUACUUAAGUGACGGUAUCUAACCAGAAAGGGACGGCUAACUACGUGCCAGCAGCCGCGGUAAUACGUAGGUCCCAAGCGUUGUCCGGAUUUAUUGGGCGUAAAGCGAGCGCAGGUGGUUUCUUAAGUCUGAUGUAAAAGGCAGUGGCUCAACCAUUGUGUGCAUUGGAAACUGGGAGACUUGAGUGCAGGAGAGGAGAGUGGAAUUCCAUGUGUAGCGGUGAAAUGCGUAGAUAUAUGGAGGAACACCGGAGGCGAAAGCGGCUCUCUGGCCUGUAACUGACACUGAGGCUCGAAAGCGUGGGGAGCAAGCAGGAUUAGAUACCCUGGUAGUCCACGCCGUAAACUAUAAGGGCUAGCUGUAGGGAGCUAUAAGUUCUCUGUAGCGCAGCUUACAGCAUGAAGC
rnacentral:rRNA from 1 species